GGCUCUUAGGAGCCAAAACGUUGCACUUAUUUUGGUGAGGUGGUGAACCCACGAAUAAAUUCACCUUCUAUAUCCUGGCAUGCUGCCUGUGUUUCUCUUCUUUGAUACUACAUUGGUGGAUUCAGUGGUGUCCAUCCUACACACAGAGCGCCCCCUUGGUGGAAGGCCUGAGUGCAGGGUACUCUGUUUUUAUUCAUAGGAUGACUGUCCAUUUAUCCCAAUUACAGAGUCUGAACAACAAAGUAGGACCUCAUUG